GGCGCCAUAGUGUAGUGGUAUGCACACAGAACUUAUUGCAACAACCGAUCUAUCUGUAGCCCGGGUUCGAUUCCCGGUGGUGCCC
rfam:Coniophora puteana RWD-64-598 SS2 unplaced genomic scaffold CONPTscaffold_4, whole genome shotgun sequence.